UAUCCGAGGAAGACUCCUCACUGCCUGA
rnacentral:sRNA from 1 species